AUACGGAGGGUGCAAGCGUUACUCGGAAUCACUGGGCGUAAAGCGCGCGCAGGCGGGCUGAUAAGUUGGAUGUGAAAGCCUACGGCUCAACUGUAGAACUGCAUCCAAAACUGUCAGUCUAGAGUCUGGGAGGGGCAGAUGGAAUUAGUUGUGUAGGGGUAAAAUCCGUAGAGAUAACUAGGAAUACCAAAAGCGAAGGCGAUCUUCUGGAACAGUACUGACGCUGAGGCGCGAAAGCGUGGGGAGCAAACAGGAGUAGAUACCCUAGUAGUCC
rnacentral:rRNA from 1 species